CUCGAUGAGUAGGGCGGGACACGUGGUAUCCUGUCUGAAUAUGGGGGGACCAUCCUCCAAGGCUAAAUACUCCUGACUGACCGAUAGUGAACCAGUACCGUGAGGGAAAGGCGAAAAGAACCCCGGCGAGGGGAGUGAAAAAGAACCUGAAACCGUGUACGUACAAGCAGUGGGAGCACCCUUUGGGGUGUGACUGCGUACCUUUUGUAUAAUGGGUCAGCGACUUAUAUUCUGUAGCAAGGUUAACCGAAUAGGGGAGCCGGAGGGAAACCGAGUCUUAAUUGGGCGUUAAGUUGCAGGGUAUAGACCCGAAACCCGGUGAUCUAGCCAUGGGCAGGUUGAAGGUUGGGUAACACUAACUGGAGGACCGAACCGACUAAUGUUGAAAAAUUAGCGGAUGACCUGUGGCUGGGGGUGAAAGGCCAAUCAAACCGGGAGAUAGCUGGUUCUCCCCGAAAGCUAUUUAGGUAGCGCCUCGUGAAUUCAUCUCCGGGGGUAGAGCACUGUUUCGGCUAGGGGGCCAUCCCGGCUUACCAACCCGAUGCAAACUGCGAAUACCGGAGAAUGUUAUCACGGGAGACACACGGCGGGUGCUAACGUCCGUCGUGAAGAGGGAAACAACCCAGACCGCCAGCUAAGGUCCCAAAGUCAUGGUUAAGUGGGAAACGAUGUGGGAAGGCCCAGACAGCCAGGAUGUUGGCUUAGAAGCAGCCAUCAUUUAAAGAAAGCGUAAUAGCUCACUGGUCGAGUCGGCCUGCGCGGAAGAUGUAACGGGGCUAAACCAUGCACCGAAGCUGCGGCAGCGACGCUGAUGCGUUGUUGGGUAGGGGAGCGUUCUGUAAGCCUGUGAAGGUGGCCUGUGAGGGUUGCUGGAGGUAUCAGAAGUGCGAAUGCUGACAUAAGUAACGAUAAAGCGGGUGAAAAGCCCGCUCGCCGGAAGACCAAGGGUUCCUGUCCAACGUUAAUCGGGGCAGGGUGAGUCGACCCCUAAGGCGAGGCCGAAAGGCGUAGUCGAUGGGAAACGGGUUAAUAUUCCCGUACUUGGUGUUACUGCGAAGGGGGGACGGAGAAGGCUAUGUUGGCCGGGCGACGGUU
rnacentral:rRNA from 1 species